rnacentral:rRNA from 1 species
UACGUAGGGGGCAAGCGUUGUCCGGAAUCAUUGGGCGUAAAGAGCGUGUAGGCGGCUCGGUAAGUCCGCUGUGAAAGUCCAGGGCUCAACCCUGGAAUGCCGGUGGAAACUGUCGGGCUAGAGUCCGGAAGAGGCGAGUGGAAUUCCUGGUGUAGCGGUGAAAUGCGCAGAUAUCAGGAGGAACACCAAUGGCGAAGGCAGCUCGCUGGGACGGUACUGACGCUGAGGUGCGAAAGCGUGGGGAGCAAACAGGA